CUCAAGGAGUGACGAUUGAGAGCUCUUUCGUGAUUCUAUGGGUGGUUGUGCAUGGCCGUUCUUAGUUGGUGGGA
rnacentral:rRNA from 1 species